AACGAACGCUGGCGGCAUGCCUAACACAUGCAAGUCGAACGAGACCUUCGGGUCUAGUUGCGCACGGGGGCGUAACGCGUGGGAACCUGCCCUUAGGUUCGGAAUAACUCCCCUAAAGGGGUGCUAAUACCGGAUAAUGUCUUCCGACCAAAGAUUUAUCGCCUUUGGAUGGGCCCGCGUUGGAUUAGCUAGUUGGUAGGGUAAAAGCCUACCAAGGCGAGGAUCCAUAGCUGGUCUGAGAGGAGGAUCAGCCACACUGGGACUGAGACACGGACCAGAAUGCUACGGGAGGGAGCAGUGGGGAAUAUUGGACGAUGGGCGAAAGCGUGAUCCAGCAGUGCCGGGUGAGUGAUGAAGGCCUUAGGGUUGUAAAGCUCUUUUAGCCGGGAUGAUAAUGACAGUACCGGGAGAAUAAGCACCGGCUAACUACGUG
rnacentral:rRNA from 1 species